UGAACCAAGGUUCUCUAUUUGACUGUUGUUUCUGAACCCAACUGAACCAAGGCCACGCAACACUAAGUCUGAACCCACACAUUACAACGUCUGAACCCACACAACACUAAGUCAGAACCAACUGCUUCAAUAAACAGAUUAGGCAAAAUUAGUAGUGCGGCUUUGUACCAAUAAACAUACGAUUCCAUGAUCCAGAUGAAGCGUGACUGACUUAAACUCUAACAACAACUCAAUGACUCGAAAGGUUACUAGCUACCAUGGGACUUCUUCAGGAUGACACACUCAUACUUGACCUGGAACCACUUCAUGGCAUCUUUUUUUCAUGGCAUCUUCCUUGGUCACCCAUCUUCCUUGAUCCCAACACGCUCCAGAACGACAAAGAGGUCCAUCUUAGUUGAGCACUUGUUCAGGAAGUCAUACCUGAGAGAAUUAAUCCAGUAAGUUUGAAGUAUGUAAGCAAUAGCAUAUCAAUAUUAGCAUGCAAACCAUAGACCUUUCUGCACUAGAAGCACAAAACAUCAAUUGGCCAUAGACCUUUCU
rnacentral:lncRNA from 1 species